UCCUGCAGAUGCCAGCUCCUGCUCCCGCAGAUUGCCAGUCGAGAUGCGGCAAAGCAGAGGCGGACAGCUAGGCACAAAGCAACUGAGUUUUAAACUUUGAUUUUCCUGCUUCUGCCUAGCGUCUCCCACGAAGACCAUUACCUUUGUGAAGCCAGGAGCCAAGAUGCGGUCCAAAUGUGCACGGCGGCUUCUGACGUGGCAACAUGAAUUCUCAGUUGGGCAGAUUGUACCACUCAUCUCGGGGAGAUUGUGCCAUUCUGAGGAGGUGGCACGGACUACCCAUCCUCCUUGGGGAGCAGAGCGGAGUCAUUUAGUGGACAAGGGGCUUCCGGAAUUGUCCUUCUAAUGGCAUGGAGACAGCACGUGGUUCAUGCCAAUCAGCAAUACCUUUGCAUUUGAAUAUUUCAGGGAGGGAUCAGAGGUAUGUAUGACAGCCAUUUGAGAAGGAGAUCUUGGGAUUUUGCUCGAGACUCAGCCCAGAUGUGUUCCUUCAUAAUUCAUUCACCUGGUCUACCCACUCCUGUGUGUUUCCCCUACCUGCCCCUACCUUUUUGUAAGGUUUGAAAUUACCAGCUCAGUGGGGGAGCCCAGCAAAUGAUUAAGUUCUUCUAGGUAAGUGUCCCAAAUCCAUAUGUGUGCAUUCUCAUUGCAGGCCAGAGGUCAGCUUCUGAUGUCAGCCCUCCAGUGCUCUCUACUUUUUUUUGUUUUUUUUUGAGACAAGGUCUCUCACUGGGCUGGAGGUUGGCCAGUUAGCUUAGGGUGGCUAACCAGUGAGUCCUAGAGACCUGCCUGUUUCUGCCUCCUGAGUUCUGGGAUUUGUC